GACGAACGCUGGCGGCGCGCUUAACACAUGCAAGUCGAACGGAAAGGCCUGCUUUCCCUUGUGGAUUGCGGGUACUCGAGUGGCGAACGGGUGAGUAACACGUGAGUGAUCUGCCCCCAACUUGGGUAUAAGCCUGGGAAACUGGGUCUAAUUCCCGAUAGGACUGCAGGGUGGUGCCUGUGGUGGAAAACGAUUUUCUAGUGGUUGGGGAUGAGCUCGCGGCCUAUCAGCUUGUUGGUGGGGUAAUGGCCUACCAAGGCGGCGACGGGUAGCCGGCCUGGGAGGGUGGACGGGCACAUUGGGACGGAGAUACGGCCCAGACUCCUACGGGAGGCAGCAGUGGGGAAUAUUGCACAAUGGGCGGAAGCCUGAUGCAGCGACGCCGCGUGGGGGAUGACGGGCUUCGGGUGGUAAACUCCUUUCGACCGCGAGGAAGCCACCUGGUUGGAAGGGUGGUGACGGUAGUGGUAGAAGAAGCACCGGCUAACUACGUG
rnacentral:rRNA from 1 species